CAUGCCUCGGUGUAUUCGUUCCCGGGCCUUGUACACUCCGCCCGUCACACCACGAGUGUUUGUAACUCCCGAAGUCGGUAGGGUAACCUUUUUGGAGCCAGCCGCCGUAGGUGGGACUGAUAAUUGGGGUGAAGUCGUAACAAGGUUGCCGUUUCGGAAGGUGCGGCUGGAUCACCUCCUUUCUUUGGAA
rnacentral:rRNA from 1 species